rnacentral:rRNA from 1 species
UCUCAAAGAUUAAGCCAUGCAUGUCUAAGUACUUGCCGCUAAAUAAGGCGAAACCGCGAAUGGCUCAUUAAAUCAGUUACGGUUCCUUAGAUUUUGACCGUUUACAUGGAUAACUGUGGUAAUUCUAGAGCUAAUACAUGCACCAAAUCCCUGAUCGUGAGACCGGUUGGCCUUUGCGGGUCGGCCGGAGGAUGUCUGAGAAGGGAGCAUUUAUUAGACCGAAAAGACCAAUGGUGUCGACCGCAAGGCCGGCAUCUUAUUGGUGGUGACUCUGGAUAACUGCGCUGAUCGCAUGGCCAAUUGUGCCGGCGACAGAUCUUUCAAGUGUCUGCCUUAUCAACUGUCGAUGGUAGGUUAAGUGCUUACCAUGGUUGUAACGGGUAACGGGGAAUCAGGGUUCGAUUCCGGAGAGGGAGCCUGAGAAACGGCUACCACAUCCAAGGAAGGCAGCAGGCACGCAAAUUACCCACUCCCGGCACGGGGAGGUAGUGACGAAAAAUAACAAUACGAGACUCAAAUGAGGCCUCGUAAUUGGAAUGAGUACAGUUUAAAUCCUUUUCACGAGGAUCAAUUGGAGGGCAAGUCUGGUGCCAGCAGCCGCGGUAAUUCCAGCUCCAAUAGCAUAUACCAAUGUUGUUGCGGUUAAAAAGCUCGUAGUUGGAUCUGAGCCCUUUGUCCGGUACUGGUCCGCCUUAGUUGUGGUUACUGGCCGGCGGGGCAUGAGCGGUGUCUAUCGGGUUGGUUGAUGUAAAAGUUUUCCAAUUCCGGGGCCCGCAUAAAAUUUAGGAGUGGAACUGGCUGGUGGUCUUAACCGAUCGCUGUCAGAUUGUUCCACUCCCCGUUUACUUUGAAGAAAUUAGAGUGCUUAAAGCAGUCGCUUGUCGACCGAAUAAUGUUGCAUGGAAUAAUGGAAUAGGAUCUCGGUUCUAUUUCUGUUGGUCUUGGGAGCCAGAGAUAAUGAUUAAGAGGGACAGACGGGGGCAUUCGUAUUGCGACGCUAGAGGUGAUAUUCUUGGACCGUCGCAAGACGAACUAAAGCGAAAGCAUUUGCCAAGAAUGUUUUCAUUAAUCAAGAACGAAAGUUAGAGGUUCGAAGGCGAUCAGAUACCGCCCUAGUUCUAACCAUAAACGAUGCCAACCAGCAAUCAGCCUGAGUUAAAUUUUAAACGACUCGGCUGGCGGCUCCGCGGGAAACCAAUUGAGUUUUUGGGUUCCGGGGGAAGUAUGGUUGCAAAGCUGAAACUUAAAGGAAUUGACGGAAGGGCACCACCAGGACUGGAGCCUGCGGCUUAAUUUGACUCAACACGGGGAAACUCACCCGGCCCGGACACUGGGAGGAUUGACAGAUUGAGAGCUCUUUCUUGAUUCAGUGGGUGGUGGUGCAUGGCCGUUCUUAGUUGGUGGAGCGAUUUGUCUGGUUAAUUCCGAUAACGAACGAGACUCUAGCCUAUUAAAUACGAGAGCAGUAGUGUUCUGGGUGUCCUUCGGGUGUGUGAUUGGGCAGGUGUCAAAGCCUGUUCCGGUUGCAUAUCCUGGCCCCGGUAGUUCCUACUGCAGACUUCUUAGAGGGACAGGCGGCGAUUCAGCCGCAUGAAAAAGAGCAAUAACAGGUCUGUGAUGCCCUUAGAUGUCCGGGGCUGCACGCGCGCUACACUGAAGUGAUCAGCGUGCAUAACGAAAGCCUGCUCAGAAAUGAGUGGGGAACCCCUAGAACCUUCUUCGUGAUGGGGAUUGGAGAUUGUAAUUAUUGUCCAUGAACGAGGAAUUCCCAGUAAGCGCGAGUCAUCAGCUCGCGUUGAUUACGUCCCUGCCCUUUGUACACACCGCCCGUCGCUACUACCGAUUGAAUGAUUUAGUGAGGUCUUUGGAUUGUCUGGACGGUUAGCUGCUUCGGUGGCUAACCGACUAAGAUGAAAAGAUGCCCGAACUUGAUUAUUUAGAGGAAGUA